UCUCGAAAAAACCGAUCUCUGUGAUUGUUAACUUGUCGAUAAUGAACGUGAGGUAGUUGUUCGGGUUCUAUUCGGAUCUUUUCAGCCCCUUCGAUAGCUCAGUUGGUAGAGCGGAGGACUGUAGAGUGUAAACAUAAGACAUCCUUAGGUCGCUGGUUCAAAUCCGGCUCGAAGGAGGUACAUUUUCGUGUUCUUAACACGUAAAUACUAGCGGAAGUAGCUAGUCUGCUAGUGCUAGCAACACCUGUACCCUAACUAGAUAGCUUGAGCACCUGCGCAAAGUUAGCGGUUGGGUCCAGAGUUUUAGUGUUUUAGACGCAAAGGGUAUAACUGUUACAUUGAAGAUGACUUGUGUUGUGUUUUUCCUACAAUAGUGCUUGUAUAUUUUGGCAACAUCAUUGUGUUAGAUGUGGUGAACAAUUCUAAAAACAUUUAGCUAAAUUGGAUCGGAUAGGAUAGGUAACGCUAACAUAAUUUAGCUAACUAACACCGGACCCCUCUUCAUCCUUUGCUGAUUCUUCACUUAAGAUGCCUGUGCUGAUCCCCCCGCCCUCCAGGAGUGAUACCAGGUCUCGUUGUUCAUCAGCCACCAGCUGAGCUUCCCAGUCACUGGAAGGAUCAGCUUCCACCUUCCCAGCAGGAGUGGAUUCGCCACGUAUUCUUCAAGGCCAACCCACGAACCGGCAAGCCAGAGCUAGCGGCCCAGCUGAAACUUUGGCGCCAUCCUCCUCAUUCACACCCAGCCUCCCGCCUCACCUGACCACUUCUUCUGGCGGCCGCUGUUCUUAUGGAUGCCCCAUAAGAUGUGGCGGUUUCCUUUUGUCUGUGUUCGUCCAGCCUGUGGCAAGCACCGACUAACAGCAGGACUGUACCGAAACAGUGCGCAAAGGUGUUGGACAUCGACGGGUGGUAUGACCUUGCCACGGAGUACCUGGAGUGAAAACGCUGCUCAAAAAAGUAUCCUUCUUGGUCCGAGGACAUCUUAGGACAGCUGGAUAUGGGCCACCGCAGCCAGUUUCCAGCUUUGCUAACAUACAGAUACUCAUGUGACAUCCGGGUGCUGAGAAUGAUGAGGGAGAGGACAAUGGGCAACAGUGUGACUCAGCUGUACAAAAAGCUGCUGGAACAACACAGCGAAGCAUGGAUGCAGCGUGUCCUGCAGUACCGGACAGCUUGUGAACCAUUCACAAAGUUUUCUGUUGUGCGUCCCCCUGUAUUCGCUGAGCCUCCCCUCUUACCUGGCCUUCCCAAGCCUAAGUGGCUGUUAGCUGUGUAUGCCAGGGAUGUUCUAGGGCAACUGCAUGAGGUGGAGGCCAAAAUAACCUCCAUCUUUGGCUCUGUCCUCAAGAUGGACUCAAAAAAAAAAGUUAACCAAGAAACUUGCUGGUGCUGCUGCAGGUACAGCUGCCUGGUGCACUAAUGUGGGAAACGAGCACGGUCAAGUUCUUGUCUCGGUCCUGACAGCUGGUGAGAGACGUUACACGGGCAUCCGCUGUAACCAGGUACUUGAUGAGGGCCUGGGCCUUCUUGCUCUGGUCCUCAUAAACCUCCUUCAUGGAGCGGCCCUGGAAUUCUCCGAACUCCACCAUCAAACAGCCCUGGUCUCCAGUUUCCCGUGCUUUAGCCCGCAUUUCCUGCUUCUUUCUAAACUUCUCCAGUUCCUCUGUCAUCUCCCUGAUGUGAGAAGUGUAGUGCAGGAACAGCUGUUUAUUUUCUGACAGAGGGGCUGCCUGAGCUCUUUCCUUUUGAAAUACUGUGCAUAGCCAAGACUGUUCUCCAGGAGCCACCUAAAUAUCUGGCCCUGGUACACGCCAAACUGAAGCUUGCAGUGAGGCAGCAGGUGGAGGUACAGACACAGUGGAGGCUGCAGGUGGACGUCUAGACGAAGUGGAGGCUGCAGGUGGACGUGUAGACACAGUGGUGGCUGCAGGUGUAGACACAGUGGAGGUUGCAGGUGGACGUGCAGACACAGUGGAGGCUGCAGGUGGACGUGCAGAAGCGCUGGAGGAAGAUGUGCGUCUCUUCAAGACAUAUGCCUUGAAAAUGGCCAUGUUGGUGUUGGACCGGGCAUCUGCUGUAACCAGGUACUUGAUGAGGGCCUGGGCCUCCUUGCUCUGGUCCUCAUAAACAUCCUUCAUGGAGCGGUCAUGGAAUUCUCCGAACUCCACCAUCAAACAGCCCUGGUCUCCAGUUUCCCGUGCUUUAGCCCGCAUUUCCUGCUUCUUUCUAAACUUCUCCAGUUCCUCUGUCAUCUCUCUGAUUUGAGACGUGUACUGCAGGAACAGCUGUUUAUUUUCUGACAGAGGGGCUGCCUGAGCUCUUUCCUUUGAAAUACUUUGCACUAAAUACAGUGCAUAGCCAAGACUGUUCUCCAGGAGCCAUCUAAAUAUCUGGCCCUGGUACACGCCAGUGACAAAAGUACUGGCCUCCGCCAGCACCUCCUCUUUGGGUUUAGCCCUUCCAGACUUCACAUUUUCAACCGCCUUUGCCUCCUCCGACGACGGUGCCAUGAGAAGUCUGGUUGACUUGGCUGACUGGCGGCGAAAAACUGGGUAGGGAUACAUUUUCUGAAUGAAAAUAAGAAAGACUGUCACCAUCUGAAACAUACCUGUAUAUUCAAAUGUGUACAUGAUACUGUAUACAGUAUUCAACUGUUACAGAUGUUGCCUGCCCUCAGGGCAGAGUAGCCUAAAUCAUUAUUUGUCUGUGGGCAAUUUAAUUUUUUUUUUAAAUGAGGGGAGGCAACCUCUGUUACAGUGAUUAUCUAACGUCACAACCCUAUUGGACUACCCUAUCCCACCCAUACUGUUCUAUUUAUUUACAGAUGUACAUACUUUACACCUAUGCAUUGCCAUAUUCUACUGCUCUUCAUACUAUUCAUCCUGCACACACACUUAUUCUUACUACUCUUAUGUUACCACAC